rnacentral:rRNA from 1 species
GACGAAUGCUGGCGGCGUGCCUAAUACAUGCAAGUAGGACGCAGUUGCGAACGGGUGAGUAACGCGUAGGUAACUACCUAUUAGAGGGGGAUAACUCUUGGACACGAUAGCUACUACCGCAUACUAGUAGAUGGACCUGCGGUGUAUUCGCUAGUAGGUAGGGUAAUGGCCUACCUAGGCAACGAUACAUAGCCGACCAGAGAGGGUGAUCGGCCACACUGGGACUGGGACACGGCCCAGACGCCUACGGGAGGCAGCAGUAGGGAAUCUUCGGCAAUGGGGGGAACCCGGAACGAGCAACGCCGCGGGAGUGACGAAGGUUUUCGGAUCGUAAAGCUCUGUUGUUAAGGAAGCGGUACUUAACCAGAAAGGGAAGGCUAACUACGUGACAGCAGCCGCGGUAAUUC